AUGAUUGUGUGUCGCCCUCUCCAAAGAACGCCUGGAUUCCUGCACCAACGGACAGUUUGUGAGGCUCAUUUUGUUCAUGCUCCCCGAGGGAGAGACGCAUAUGUGUUGAUGGAUACAUUUUACUUUUGGACUUCUGCGUCAGAUGGGAAUUGUUGCAACACAAAACAAACGCUUGCUGCAUAUCUUUGGACUCCUUCAGUCUCAGGGGGCGAAGGUGGAGCUGUUGAUGAGUUUACUGGAAGCAGCGUGGUGGCCUUCAUUUUUGAUGGACAGUUAAAAAUUUGGGCAUGUCUCUUGUCACCUUCUGCAAGCGCGUCAGAGAGAUCUCCUUCUGACACGUAAUGGUGUUGCGUGUUUCCGUAUCGAUGCAGACGGAGAAGUAUAAAUUAGGCUUUUGAAAAAAAAAUGCUACCCCAAGCAACAACUUCUUGCUUUUUAUUUGCAGCAUGAAUAUUAUUGUGGCUUUCAGUAAAUUGUACUCUUCAGCACUAAAUAAAUCUGUAAAAUCUGGCUGUGUUGCAACCAUUGGCAGCGAGUGAAUUAUUGUUUUUGGUUAGGGCACAUUUUUGCAAGUCAGUUCUCAGGUGCACUAACCACAUCUCACCAUUAGAGGAUGCCAAAUUACAAACCGACAGACACGCUACCAGGUCCACACGCACUUCCAGCACAAAAAAUAAAACUUGUUUAAUUUUCACCAAUGUAUGCAAACUGCACACAUACUUAACAGGAAGUUGCUAAACAUCAAAAUCCACGUUUUCUACCACAAUUCUGGGAGGCUGGAGUGGCAGAUUAGUUGAUCUCUGAUUGCAGGGCCACCACUGCUAAAGGGGGACCCGAAAAUCUGUAAUCCUCCUUUCUGCAAUGAACACCUCGUGCAUCUUUGACUGCAAUGGAGAAGCAGAGCCUGAAAACCUCCGCUAGCCUCGGCUAGCUUACCCAGCUCGAGUUUCUGUACCAACCAGCUGCCCCACCCAACACGUUACCUUUCAACCCAUGCAGUAGUAUGUUAAAUGUACAUGAAUGCACAGCAUCUUCCCCCAUUCAACCAGCCAAAUAAAGUACAGAAAUAUAAUUUUACUUACUGAUAAAAAUGAAGCAGACUUCUUGAAUGAACUCUUUGUGCUUUCCCUCUUUGUCCAAAUAAUUCCAUGAUUAACAUCCAAACACAAACAUGGCCUUAUAGGAAAAGCUUAAGAGGAGUUAAACAACAAUGCCACCUAGGAAUUAAUACUGUGGGCCAUUCACUC
rnacentral:lncRNA from 1 species